GUUUUCAUAUAUUACUCAACAGGUAAUAAAGAUAUACAGAUUCAUUGAUUGUAUCCUCACAGAGAGCAGGAAGUUCAUGAGUGGCUUCAUGACUUCAGAAAUUCAAUUACAGCCCACAUUACUGGCAGCAUUAAUACAGAACUGAUCUGACCUGAUUCAACAUGAACAAAUGCAUCCUGCUGGUUUCCAUUAUGGCAUCAGGUGUGAUGGCUGUGGACAAAAUUGAGCCAAAUAAAGGGACCAGUAUCAUCAGAACAGAGGAAAUAACCACAAUGUUGAGCUGCUCGUAUGAUUCUAAUAGUGACAAUGUACGGCUUUACUGGUACAGGCAAUAUCCCAAUGAGGAACCUCAGUAUGUAUUAUAUGAACGUGCUCGAUCAAGCAGUUAUAAGCACACAUCUGAUCCUCGAUUUCAGUCAACAACCUCUCGCACAUCCACUGAACUCAUUAUUAAUGGUGUAACUCUGUCAGAUUCAGCCCUCUAUUACUGUGCUCUAAGAGUAGGAGCCCAGUGAUACAAAACAUGAAUUAAGUCGCACAAAAACUGAAAGGCCUUUUU